rnacentral:tRNA from 1 species
GCACCCGUAGCUCAGCUGGAUAGAGCGUUGCCCUCUGAAGCCAAAAGUCACACGUUCGAAUCGAGUCGGGUGCG